rnacentral:ribozyme from 1 species
AAAAUGAAAAAAAGUAAUGCUAUCUUUAUACUUCUACCUCAAAUUUGAAAAAGGAGAUGUGGGUGUCCAAGUUUUUUUUUUGAGUUCUUCUUCUUCUCUCUGUCUAAGUCCCCAUAUGUUCCGCCAUUGUUAAAAUUACAAACACCAAGGUUCAAG